rnacentral:ncRNA from 1 species
UCGGAACAAAGCCAAACCCGUUGCGAGGCGGGGACGGAAAGCCGCGGACCUCCUUAUAAAGUAAAGGCGGAGGUAGCCGGGUUGCUCCA